UACGUAGGGUGCGAGCGUUGCCCGGAUUUAUUGGGCGUAAAGGGCGCGUAGGCGGCUCUGCACGUCCGUUGUGAAAUCGCCCGGCUCAACUGGGCGGGGUCAGCGGAUACGGCGGAGCUUGAGCAAGCUAGGGGGCAAUGGAAUUCCCGGUGUAGUGGUGAAAUGCGUAGAGAUCGGGAGGAACACCAGUGGCGAAGGCGGCCCUCUGGGCCGGGCCUGACGCUGAGACGCGAGGGCGUGGGGAGCGAACGGG
rnacentral:rRNA from 1 species